GUGCCAGCAGCCGCGGUAAUACGUAGGGUGCAAGCGUUAAUCGGAAUUACUGGGCGUAAAGCGUGCGCAGGCGGUUCCGCAAGUCAGAUGUGAAAGCCCCGGGCUCAACCUGGGAACUGCAUUUGAAACUACGGAGCUAGAGUAUGUCAGAGGGGGGUAGAAUUCCACGUGUAGCAGUGAAAUGCGUAGAGAUGUGGAGGAAUACCGAUGGCGAAGGCAGCCCCCUGGGACGUUACUGACGCUCAUGCACGAAAGCGUGGGGAGCAAACAGGAUUAGAAACCCUGGUAGUCC
rnacentral:rRNA from 1 species